rnacentral:rRNA from 1 species
CCUACGGGUGGCAGCAGUGGGGAAUAUUGCACAAUGGGGGAAACCCUGAUGCAGCGACGCCGCGUGAGUGAAGAAGUAAUUCGUUAUGUAAAGCUCUAUCAGCAGGGAAGAAAAUGACGGUACCUGAGUAAGAAGCCCCGGCUAACUACGUGCCAGCAGCCGCGGUAAUACGUAGGGGGCAAGCGUUAUCCGGAUUUAAUGGGUGGAAAGGGAGCGUAGACGGCAGUGCAAGUCUGGAGUGAAAGGCGGGGGCUCAACCCCCGGACUGCUCUGGAAACUGUACGGCUGGAGUGCAGGAGAGGUAAGUGGAAUUCCUAGUGUAGCGGUGAAAUGCGUAGAUAUUAGGAGGAACACCAGGGGCGAAGGCGGCUUACUGGACUGUAACUGACGUUGAGGCUCGAAAGCGUGGGGAGCAAACAGGAUUAGAUACCCCAGUAGUC